UACGGGGGGGGCAAGCGUUGUUCGGAAUUACUGGGCGUAAAGGGCUCGUAGGUGGCCAACUAAGUCGGACGUGAAAUCCCUCGGCUUAACCGGGGAACUGCGUCCGAUACUGGUUGGCUUGAGUUUGGGAGAGGGAUGCGGAAUUCCAGGUGUAGCGGUGAAAUGCGUAGAUAUCUGGAGGAACACCGGUGGCGAAGGCGGCAUCCUGGACCGGUAUUGACGCUGAGGCGCGAAAGCCAGGGAGCAAAGCGGG
rnacentral:rRNA from 1 species